GUGUCAGCAGCCGCGGUAAUACGUAGGGUGCAAGCGUUAAUCGGAAUUACUGGGCGUAAAGCGUGCGCAGGCGGCUUUGCAAGACAGAUGUGAAAUCCCCGGGCUCAACCUGGGAACUGCAUUUGUGACUGCAUGGCUAGAGUGCGGCAGAGGGGGAUGGAAUUCCGCGUGUAGCAGUGAAAUGCGUAGAUAUGCGGAGGAACACCGAUGGCGAAGGCAAUCCCCUGGGCCUGCACUGACGCUCAUGCACGAAAGCGUGGGGAGCAAACAGGAUUAGAAACCCCGGUAGUCC
rnacentral:rRNA from 1 species